rnacentral:rRNA from 1 species
CCUACGGGGGACAGCAGUGGGGAAUAUUGCACAAUGGGGGAAACCCUGAUGCAGCGACGCCGCGUGAGUGAAGAAGUAAUUCGUUAUGUAAAGCUCUAUCAGCAGGGAAGAAAAUGACGGUACCUGAGUAAGAAGCCCCGGCUAACUACGUGCCAGCAGCCGCGGUAAUACGUAGGGGGCAAGCGUUAUCCGGAUUUACUGGGUGGAAAGGGAGCGUAGACGGCAGUGCAAGUCUGGAGUGAAAGGCGGGGGCUCAACCCCCGGACUGCUCUGGAAACUGCACGGCUGGAGUGCAGGAGAGGUAAGUGGAAUUCCUAGUGUAGCGGUGAAAUGCGUAGAUAUUAGGAGGAACACCAGUGGCGAAGGCGGCUUACUGGACUGUAACUGACGUUGAGGCUCGAAAGCGUGGGGAGCAAACAGGAUUAGAUACCCGUGUAGUC